rnacentral:lncRNA from 1 species
CUCGUAUGACACCAUUGAGGCAGCACAAGGGGAUCUAUUCAUCAUUCCCAAGCUGCAUUUCUUCCUGGCGAUUUCCAGGACCUUCAACCCCUUCCUGACAAAAUACCAAACCGAUGAACCAGUCCAGCCCUUCUUGGCCAACGACUUGGCUGAGCUGUUGAAGAGUCUACUGAAGCGGUUUGUGAAGAGGGAACUCCUACAGGAUGUCUCGCCCCUUGAGCUGACCAAACUCGAUGCAGCUGAUAAGGCAAACUGGGUCUCAACUUUGAAUUCUGACAUAGGCCUGGGUGCAGAAUGCGCCAUCAAGGCACUUCAGAGCAAGCCAGGAAGCAAGGUCAGUGAGCUUUCUGUGCUCACCUUCAGGAGAGAAUGUAUGCAGGGCCUGGCUAACAUGGUAAAGAAAGUGCAGGAGAAAAGCCCCCUGAAAUUCCCAGUGGUCAGGAACAUCGCCUGCUUGGAUCCCACAAAGAUGAACACAGAUCCAGAGUGGUGCAUCAGAAAGAUGAAAAAUAUAGUCCAAACAUUCCUGCAGGACAAGCAGUUGGCUGGAGGCAUUUCAGCUGGUGAUGUGAUCGUCCAACAGUUUGAGAGCUUUCUUUCUGUUGAGGGUAGAGAUGAGAGAUUCCUCUCCUUUCAGCCACUGAAGCAGCGAGUUGAUGUGUUCCUGCACCCAGUAGUUAAGUCCUACCCGGAGCUUUUAAUUUUCUCUCAGAGCCUGCUACUUUUGUCCCAUGGACAAGCCACGGUAGAGAGAGGAUUCUCAAUAAACAAGCAUGUUGAAACCUGCAACAUCCAAGAAGAGUCGAUGGAAGCUCUGCGCUUGAUCUGUGACAAGGUCAGUGUCUGUGGGGGGGUUCUGCAGGUACCUAUCACAAAGGAACUCCUGGCUUCUGCAGCCUCCGCAAGGUCCAAAUAUAGGAAUCACCUGGAACAAGAACGGAAGAAGAGAGAGACUGCCACGCAGGGACUCAAGAGGAAAGCAGUCGUGGAUGAGCUGGAAGAGCUGAAAAAUAAAAAGAAAGUCCUAACAGAGGUUUGCGAAUCCCUGCAAAAGGAUGCGGAUCAGCUGGCAGAGCAGGCAGAGGGAAAGUCUGGAUCGCUAAUGGCUCAGCUGAUAACAAAGUCAAACACCCUCAGGAGAAGGCACAAGGAAAAACG